rnacentral:rRNA from 1 species
UACGUAGGGGGCGAGCGUUGUCCGGAAUCACUGGGCGUAAAGGGCGCGUAGGCGGCGCGGAAAGUCGUCGGUGAAAGCUCGGGGCUCAACCCUGAGUCUGCCGGUGAUACUCCCGCGCUCGAGCUCACUAGAGGCAGAUGGAAUUCCGGGUGUAGCGGUGGAAUGCGUAGAGAUCCGGAAGAACACCGGUGGCGAAGGCGGUCUGCUGGGGUGAGGCUGACGCUGAUGCGCGACAGCGUGGGGAGCAAACAGG